CAACUCUCCGCGACCACUGAAAUCCACACGGAAAAGUGCCAUUAUGGAGUCAAUGAUCUGCAUUGUAAUCAUGCUGGAUGGUGUGUUUCAUUGGUUUAUCUAAGACAGCCUAUUAACUUCCUCUCCUUAUGGCAAAACCUUAAUGGAUGUGGGCAGUAUCAAAAAGUAACAAUUUGUAUGAAUUCUCUACUCAAACACGGUUUAUGGAGGUAAGAGUCACCAAGGUCUGUUUAACUGUAUUCGUAAAAAUAAAAGAUUCUGACUUUU